rnacentral:rRNA from 1 species
UACAGAGGUCCCAAGCGUUGUUCGGAUUCACUGGGCGUAAAGGGUGCGUAGGCGGUCGGGUAAGUCUGAUGUGAAAUCUCACAGCUUAACUGUGAAACUGCAUUGGAUACUAUCCGGCUCGAGGAAUGGAGGGGAGACUGGAAUACUUGGUGUAGCAGUGAAAUGCGUAGAUAUCAAGUGGAACACCAGUGGCGAAGGCGAGUCUCUGGACAUUUCCUGACGCUGAGGCGCGACAGCGUGGGGAGCAAACAGG